rnacentral:rRNA from 1 species
UGAGUAACCUGCCCUUCACUCUGGGAUAACUCCGGGAAACCGGGGCUAAUACUGGAUAUGACUCGAACAGGCAUCUGUUUCGGGUGGAAAGAUUUUAUUGGUGGAGGAGGACUCGCGGCCUAUCAGCUUGUUGGUGAGGUAAUGGCUCACCAAGGCGACGACGGGUAGCCGGCCUGAGAGGGCGACCGGCCACACGUGGGACUGAGACACGGCCCAGACUCCGUACGGGAGGCA